rnacentral:rRNA from 1 species
GGAUUCCCCUAGUUACGGCGAGUGAAGAGGGAAGAGCCCAAGAUUGAAAGCUGGCGCCUUCGGCGUCCGCAUUGUAAUCUCAAGAAGUGUUUUCCGCUUCGGACCAUGCCUAAGUCCCUUGGAAAAGGGCAUCAUAGAGGGUGAUAAUCCCGUACAUGGCAUGGAGCGCCCGUAGCUUUGUGAUACGCUUUCUAAGAGUCGAGUUGUUUGGGAAUGCAGCUCAAAAUGGGUGGUAAAUGCCAUCUAAGGCUAAAUAUUGGGGAGAGACCGAUAGCGAACAAGUACAGUGAUGGAAAGAUGAAAAGAACUUUGAAAAGAGAGUUAAACAGUACGUGAAAUUGCCAAAAGGGAAGGGUAGGAGGUCAGAGAUGCGACUUG